ensembl:misc_RNA Metazoa_SRP Metazoan signal recognition particle RNA
GCCGGGCGCGGUGGCGCGUGCCUGUAGUCCCAGCUACUAGGGAGGCUGAGGCUGGAGGAUCGCUUGAGUCCAGGAGUUCUGGGCUGUAGUGCGCUAUGCCGAUCGGGUGUCCGCACUAAGUUCGGCAUCAAUAUGGUGACCUCCCGGGAGCGGGGGACCACCAGGUUGCCUAAGGAGGGGUGAACCGGCCCAGGUCGGAAACGGAGCAGGUCAAAACUCCCGUGCUGAUCAGUAGUGGGAUCGCGCCUGUGAAUAGCCACUGCACUCCAGCCUGGGCAACAUAGCGAGACCCUGUCUCU